CAAAUAACAUGAAUAUGAUAAUCAUUCAGUACAAUGACACCGCGACAGUACUUUAAUACAGUUUUCUAAGAAGAAACAUCCAUCUGCUUUGCGAUCGAUUGACACGUGUUCUGGUGAGCACAGGGUGGCAGCUGCUCCCUGCAGUGUUUUCCUGCUCGGGUCAGUCUCUCCUGGGGAAGCAAUGACAGAAACUAGGCCAGAUGGUGCAGGAGAGAGAGACAGAGCAGGCCGCUCUCAACCUGGCCAACUGCACCACAUUCAAGGUUUCCAGAUCACUCCUGUCUGCCAUUGGUCAUCAAACAUAUUAGCCCCACCCCAAAUUGAUGCCAUUGGUUGAGUCAAUGUUGCUGUGUUGGGAUGUUCAAACUAAUGAUUUUGACAGCAUUAGAGUGUUUAUAAAGUUGGUAUACAAUACAAGUAUUUUAAAAUAAA